AGUGAACGCUGGCGGUAGGCCUAACACAUGCAAGUCGAACGGCAGCACAGUAAGAGCUUGCUCUUACGGGUGGCGAGUGGCGGACGGGUGAGGAAUACAUCGGAAUCUACUUUUUCGUGGGGGAUAACGUAGGGAAACUUACGCUAAUACCGCAUACGACCUACGGGUGAAAGCAGGGGAUCUUCGGACCUUGCGCGAUUGAAUGAGCCGAUGUCGGAUUAGCUAGUUGGCGGGGUAAAGGCCCACCAAGGCGACGAUCCGUAGCUGGUCUGAGAGGAUGAUAAGCCACACUGGAACUGAGACACGGUCCAGACGCCUACGGGAGGCAGCAGUGGGGAAUAUUGGACAAUGGGCGCAAGCCUGAUCCAGCCAUACCGCGUGGGUGAAGAAGGCCUUCGGGUUGUAAAGCCCUUUUGUUGGGAAAGAAAAGCAUCAGGUUAAUACCCCGCUGUUCUGACGGUACCCAAAGAAUAAGCACCGGCUAACUUCGUG
rnacentral:rRNA from 1 species